AAAGAAGUAAACCAAAAAAGCAUAAACAGAGGCAAGUAGUCAUUAUUGUGUUUGACUAUAAAUAUAAGUUUUGAUUAUAUAUUUUUAAGUAUUUUUCCUUUUCUGUAUUCUUUUCUCUUUGUUUUCAAUGUUAUUUUAAAUGAUCGAGCGGAUGUAAUUUUGUGCCGUAACAGGCACACACUACUAUACUGUAACUGUAUUCAUAUUCUUGUAUUCUUCCUACUGAUUAUUUUGUGAAUGGAACAAUAAGU
rnacentral:ribozyme from 14 species